GACGAACGCUGGCGGCGUGCUUAACACAUGCAAGUCGAACGGAAAGGCCCUGCUUUUGUGGGGUGCUCGAGUGGCGAACGGGUGAGUAACACGUGAGUAACCUGCCCUUGACUUUGGGAUAACUUCAGGAAACUGGGGCUAAUACCGGAUAGGAGCUCCUGCUGCAUGGUGGGGGUUGGAAAGUUUCGGCGGUUGGGGAUGGACUCGCGGCUUAUCAGCUUGUUGGUGGGGUAGUGGCGUACCAAGGCUUUGACGGGUAGCCGGCCUGAGAGGGUGGCCGGCCACAUUGGGACUGAGAUACGGCCCAGACUCCUACGGGAGGCAGCAGUGGGGAGUAUUGCACAAUGGGCGGAAGCCUGAUGCAGCAACGCCGCGUGCGGGAUGACGGCCUUCGGGUUGUAAACCGCUUUCGCCUGUGACGAAGCGUGAGUGACGGUAAUGGGUAAAGAAGCACCGGCUAACUACGUG
rnacentral:rRNA from 1 species